GAUGAAGAACGUAGCGAAAUGCGAUACGUAAUGUGAAUUGCAGAAUUCAGUGAAUCAUCGAAUCUUUGAACGCAUAUUGCGCUCUCUGGUAUUCCGGAGAGCAUGCUUGUUUGAGUAUCAGUAAACACCUCAACUUCCAUAUCUUUUUUGAAAUGGGAGUUGGACUUGAGUGAUCCCAACGCUUUUCCUCACCGAAAAGUGGCGGGUUACUUGAAAUGCAGGUGCAGCUGGACUUUUCUCUGAGCUAUAAGCAUAUCUAUUUAGUCUGCCUAAAAACCAGAUUAUUACCUUUGCUGCAGCUAACAUAAAGGAGAUUAGUUCUUGUGCUGACUGAUGCAGGAUUCACAAAGACAGCUUCGGCCGACUUUGUAAACUCGAUCUCAAAUCAAGUAAGACUACCCGCUGAACUUAAGCAUAUCAAUAAGCGGAGGA
rnacentral:misc_RNA from 1 species